rnacentral:rRNA from 1 species
AUUGAACGCUGGCGGCAGGCCUAACACAUGCAAGUCGAGCGGAUGAAGGGAGCUUGCUCCUGGAUUCAGCGGCGGACGGGUGAGUAAUGCCUAGGAAUCUGCCUGGUAGUGGGGGAUAACGUCCGGAAACGGGCGCUAAUACCGCAUACGUCCUGAGGGAGAAAGUGGGGGAUCUUCGGACCUCACGCUAUCAGAUGAGCCUAGGUCGGAUUAGCUAGUUGGUGGGGUAAAGGCCUACCAAGGCGACGAUCCGUAACUGGUCUGAGAGGAUGAUCAGUCACACUGGAACUGAGACAGGGUCCAGACUCCUACGGGAGGCAGCAGUGGGGAAUAUUGGACAAUGGGCGAAAGCCUGGUCCAGCCAUGCCGCGUGUGUGAAGAAGGUCUUCGGAUUGUAAAGCACUUUAUGUUGGGAGGAAGGGCAGUAAGUUAAUACCUUGCUGUUUUGACGUUACCAACAGAAUAAGCACCGGCUAACUUCGUG